UACGUAGGGGGCUAGCGUUGUCCGGAUUUAUUGGGCGUAAAGAGCGUGUAGGCGGCCAGGUAGGUCUGCUGUGAAAACUCGAGGCUCAACCUCGAGACGUCGGCGGAAACCAUCUGGCUAGAGUCCGGAAGAGGAGAGUGGAAUUCCUGGUGUAGCGGUGAAAUUCGUAGAUAUUGGGAAGAACACCGGUGGCGAAGGCGGCUCACUGGCCCGUAACUGACGCUCAUGCACGACAGCGUGGGGAUCAAACAGG
rnacentral:rRNA from 1 species